AAAAGGAAAGGCAGAGGCAGGGGAAGAGCUGGCUCCCCCUCACUUCAGUGCCUGGUUGGAGGUAAACAGCCUCCGUGGGCCAGGAGGGAAGGGGCAGCCUUCAAAGGCAGCAAAGUAUAUAUUAGUGGACUACAUAUAUGCAUGGGGUCCUUGGAGUCCAGAAGAGGGGGCAUUGGACUUCCUGGAACUCUCCUGGAGUUACAGAUGGUCCUGAGUCACCAUGUGAGUGCUGGGAACUGAAACUGAGUCCUUUCUGAAAGAGCAGAGAGUCCCUUUAACCACUGAGCCAUCUCUCCAGCCACGCUGUGGUGAGGACUUUUAAAUAACCAGAAUUCUGCUGGUUUGCUUUGACAGCCAGAAUCCUGUGAGCACAGAUGAGAAGCAAACAGAUCCCAAGUUAACUGAAGGGGCAGAAAGCAUCAACAGGGACACUUGCUAGUUGGCUGACUCUGAAGCAGUGAGGAAACUGUCAAAGGUAUUAGGUGUGCAUACAUGCAUGUAUGUGUGAAAGGGGGAUAAACUUACUCCUUCCUUGAGUGGGGCCUUCCUGGGUUUCACCUUUAUAUGUUUAAUUCGAUGUGUGGAUUGUAUUAGGUGUGUAGUUACAGUUUUAUGUUGUAAGAAGUGGUACUCUUUCCCCUUGGAUGAAAACUCUACCCAGAAUUCCAAAGUACAAUGGAGGCAGAAGAGAAACUCACCUUGGAUGCUCU
rnacentral:lncRNA from 1 species